rnacentral:rRNA from 1 species
ACAGCCCAGCGCAUAAUCUCCCGGGCUACCAAGCCUGUGGCGACAUGUUGCGUAAAAGGAAAGGUCGCUAUAAAGCCCUGCACAACGUAGACAUAAGUAUGUCUCGAAUAUUCACUGUUUUUCUAACGAAACACUGGCUCCACAGAGGGUGAAAGACCCGUGUUGCUACGUGAUUAUGUGCAUGGGUUCGGCUUUUUUCCUUGAGAGUCGCGUUGCUUGAGCAUGCAGCGCUAAGUAGGUCGUAAACUCGACCUAAGGCUAAAUAUUUCCACAGAACCGAUAGUAAACAAGUACCGUGAGGGAAAGUUGAAAAGCACUCUGAAGAGAGAGUCAAAAGACCGUGAAACCGUUUACAGUAUAAGCCAAUGGUAAUUCGGAAGGCUUGGAGCAGACAAUUCCCAGUGUCCACCGGGAGGUGUGUGGACAGACGGUUGUGGACGUUGUCGGAGGAGGUAGUGGCAUUUAGUUGAUAACAUCGCGAUCGAUAGCAUGCGGCUGAUGGACUGUGGUAACAGGGAACGAUCUGAUGAGGAUCUGAACCGAGGCAGCAGUUGAGCAUGAUCCCUCUCUGAUUCACACAAACGAGUUGCUUUCACACAGCCCACCUAAACUCUUUACGAGGUCACCCACACGGACAUGGCUGUUGUGCUUCAGUUGCGUUUUCAGUAACCUAUUCACGUGGUACUGGACGGCCUGUCGCCCCAUGUCUCUGAUACGUGUGCGUAUGAUCCUCAGUGAAGGUUAAUUUCUGACCAUCCCUAAGCCCAGAAUCGAGACCGAACUGCCCGCUGAUUCUCAUGGGUGAUUGUCAGUCGGUAUGGCUCUGCUAGCCGUUGGGCUUAGGAUGAAAGGUGUCUAACUCUGGAACCAUUGGUCACGUCUCGAAACACGGGCCAAGGAGCAUAGCAUGUGCGCAAGUCUAAGGGUUCCACAAAACCUGGAGGCGAAGUGAAAGCAAAUGGUGUGUCUGUUGAUAGCUUCGGCUGUCGGCAGGCAGCUUGGCGUGAGUGUAAUUCCUACUUGGAUGAAUGCAUGACGUUAGCUACUACCGAGUCGAACUCUGCGUGUGUGCCUAAAUGGCUGGCGUGGAUGCAAACUCCAGACUCUAUAUAAGGCGCCUGUGUUUUGUUCGAGUACUGUGUAGCGUGUAUGCUAUGACCCGAAAGAUAGUGAACUAUGCCUGGCGA